UUGUGAUUGGUUACUGAAGGUUACUGGCAGUUGCUGUGAAAUUGCUGACGUUGCACUCAUGCAGGCCUACAGACCGACCAGCCUGGAAACCACCGUUCACUGUGGAAAAACGUGUAUUCUGCAUGUGGUAGCCGGUAGUCAGUAGCGUGAAAUUGUUCUUAAAUGGGUAUAAGGCCCUGCACUGGGAUUGUUUUGGUUGUUUCAGCUUGCUGCAGUCAGUAGGAAUUUGCAUGGAAGACGCUGAUUUGUCUGCAAAAGCACGCUACUUGACAAGCGGAAAACGUGAGAAGUGCAACACAGACUGUGAACGUUCUCAGUAUACCGUUUCACAUUUUCUUUCAACCUCAUCUCAGACAAGUCAGUGUCUUCCACCUUCCAUGGUAGUGAGAUCCACCACCAAGUAAUCUCAUAUAGUUUAAAAAAAAAAAAAAAAAACAGAGUUGGAGAUGAAGCUGAGGCUUUGAAAAAGGUCUUCACAUGCCAAGGGAUAACAUCAGGGUAGCCCUUGGUAUGGGUAGGUAUGGGUAGGGUAGGUAUAUUUUAUUGCUCAAUUUACAGCCAACUAGGUAGCUUUCACUUUGUUUUCUUAAAAAACAAAACAAAAAAAAACUACUGUGAUCAGAAACUAACUUAAUAAGACUGGUCAGACUGAAUCACGGAAAACUGAAUGAUGCACAGACUGUGUGGUGAUUAAAGAACUGAAACGCUUCCUUUGUUGUGAUACAGAUUUUAAUGGCGUGAAAACUUAAAAAAAAAAACCCAACAACAACAAUUUUUAAUCAAUAUUAGAUUUUUCAAGCAUUCUCUGAUCAGCAGCAACAAAAAUAUGUACACAUAAUUUUGAAUCUGGAUUUUACAGUAAGGCAUUGCACAAAGUACAACAGACAAGAUUAUUAAUCUACUGUGUGACAUUACAUUUUUGAAUUUUGUCAACUUUUUGACAAA